GGCGGGUCUAAUACAUGCAAGUCGAGCGGAUGGAUUAAGAGCUUGCUCUUAUGAAGUUAGCGGCGGACGGGUGAGUAACACGUGGGUAACCUGCCCAUAAGACUGGGAUAACUCCGGGAAACCGGGGCUAAUACCGGAUAACAUUUUGAACCGCAUGGUUCGAUAAUUGAAAGGCGGCUUCGGCUGUCACUUAUGGAUGGACCCGCGUCGCAUUAGCUAGUUGGUGAGGUAACGGCUCACCAAGGCAACGAUGCGUAGCCGACCUGAGAGGGUGAUCGGCCACACUGGGACUGAAACACGGCCCAGACUCCUACGGGAGGCAGCAGUAGGGAAUCUUCCGCAAUGGACGAAAGUCUGACGGAGCAACGCCGCGUGAGUGAUGAAGGCUUUCGGGUCGUAAAACUCUGUUGUUAGGGAAGAACAAGUGCUAGUUGAAUAGCUGGCACCUUGACGGUACCUAACCAGAAAGCCACGGCUAACUACGUGCCAGCAGCCGCGGUAAUACGUAGGUGGCAAGCGUUAUCCGGAAUUAUUGGGCGUAAAGCGCGCGCAGGUGGUUUCUUAAGUCUGAUGUGAAAGCCCACGGCUCAACCGUGGAGGGUCAUUGGAAACUGGAAGACUUGAGUGCAGAAGAGGAAAGUGGAAUUCCAUGUGUAGCGGUGAAAUGCGUAGAGAUAUGGAGGAACACCAGUGGCGAAGGCGACUUUUUGGUCUGUAACUGACACUGAGGCGCGAAAGCGUGGGGAGCAAACAGGAUUAGAUACCCUGGUAGUCCACGCCGUAAACGAUGAGUGCUAGGUGUUAGAGGGUUUCCGCCCUUUAGUGCUGAUGAUAACGCAUUAAGCACUCCGCCUGGGGAGUACGGCCGCAAGGCUGAAACUCAAAGAAAUUGACGGGCGCCCCGCACAAGCUGUAGCAGCAUGUGCUUAAAUUCGAAGCCACGCGAAGAUCCUUACGAGGUCUGGACAUCCUCUGACCACUCUAGAGAUAGAGCGUUCUCCUUCGGGGGACAGACUGACAGCUGCUGCAUGGUUGUCGUCAGCUCG
rnacentral:rRNA from 1 species